rnacentral:rRNA from 1 species
GUCUACGGCCACACCACCCUCAACAAGCCUGACAUCUGAUCAGAAGCUAAGCAGGGUCGGGCCUGGUUACUAUUUGGAUGAGAGACCACCUAGGAAGACCAGGUGCUGUAGGCA